ACCUUAUUCAAGGUGCUAGUAUCUGUUAAGCUCUACAUAGCAUAGGACCUUGUUAUACAUACGACCACCUGCUCCUGAAGGUGAUGAAAGGUUCAAAAGCACAUCAGUUUCACUAUUGACAAAAUGAAAUCAUUCAGCACAGAGCCUUGGUGUUUAUCUGACAGCAUCAUUUAAAGAAUGAGUAUUGAAUUUCAUCACUGCAGCCUUCAAUUGUUUUUAUUGUACAAAUAUUACCAAACCAUUAUUAAAUAAAUCUAUGAGCCUAAA